UCCUUCUCAGGGUGACACCUGGAGAGUCUCCAGUACUCUUCUGGCCUCGACUGUAGGAGUGAGAGUCAAGCAGAGGCAUAUCCAUUCCAUUCCUAGCUUGGGCAGUGGCUAGCGAGUGGAAGGCAAUCUGCUACAAAU